UACUCCAAUUUUGAAGGGAAGAAACUACAUAGAACUACAUAGAAAUACAACUGAGUGCCUUCUGCGUGCUAAGUUCAUUAUUAUCUCAAAUCCUCAGAAGCCCUGUGGGAUGGCUACUAUUCCUACUUCCACUUUACAGGUGAGGAAACUGAGUCUCAGUGGAUUUUGAGUAAUAAAUGUGAUAGGCUUAUUGCAAGUCCUGAGUUUAGUAGCGAGCAAGGAGAAAGUGACAUUUUUUUCACCUCCCCUGUCACUUCAAACCCACUCCCUUCUUUCCCACCAGGGGAUGUUACAGGUCCCAUGGUUUUCCUGGGUGACCACAGACAGGCUUCUUCUCACCUACACAGCCUGGUCCCCCGGUGCCUCCCCAAGGAGUCACGUUCUAACUCCUGGACACCGCUUGAGCUUCCUUCCCUUCCCUCUUCCCCUUCCUUCCCCCACGUGACUUACAGAGAGUGGAACAUGGCGUCCUCUCCCUGCCCGCCUGAGCGUGCGAACCCAAGCUUUAAGGUCUCUUAGGCAUCCUGGUAGGUGCUUUCUGUCUUCCAGAUGGCUCGUGGGACACAGAAUGCUUGUUCUGCCAUGGACUUUUAGACAAAACUCUGACACAACUGGAAGAGUUGCACCUAACACUCUGUUUCAAUCUUGCAAAGGACGACACAGAAAAUGGCAAGGCUGGAUCUGAAUAUGGUGCCAGAGAUCCCAAUCAAGAUUGUAUCUAGAAGGCAGAAAUCUCCAGGAAGAACUCCACCAAGACGAAUGCCUGCUCUACCCAGGCCUAGGAGAAAUAGCUGUGCAGUGCGAGGACGAACGCAUUCAUCAGCAUUCUUGUCCAGGAGUAGCUCAUCAUCCUGUCCUGUCAUUUCUGGUCACCACCAAAGAAGGCUCCCAAAAGGACAUCUAGUCUCUAGUUAAGGCCAUUAACUAGUGAAUACACUAAAUGCCAUUGAAUUGCACACUAAGUGGGUGAAUUUUAUGGUAUGUGAAUUGUACAUCAAUAAAGCUGUAUAUAUACUCUGUGUGUGUGUGUGU
rnacentral:lncRNA from 1 species